rnacentral:tRNA from 1 species
AGUCCUGUAGCUCAGUUGGGAGAGCACCUCUCUUACAAAGAGGAUGUCGCAGGUUCGAUUCCUGUCAGGACUACCA